rnacentral:rRNA from 1 species
UUAAAUUGAAGAGUUUGAUCAUGGCUCAGAUUGAACGCUGGCGGCAGGCCUAACACAUGCAAGUCGAACGGUAACAGAAAGCAGCUUGCUGCUUUGCUGACGAGUGGCGGACGGGUGAGUAAUGUCUGGGAAACUGCCCGAUGGAGGGGGAUAACUACUGGAAACGGUAGCUAAUACCGCAUAACGUCGCAAGACCAAAGAGGGGGACCUUCGGGCCUCUUGCCAUCGGAUGUGCCAGAUGGGAUUAGCUAGUAGGUGGGGUAACGGCUCACCUAGGCGACGAUCCCUAGCUGGUCUGAGAGGAUGACCAGNCACACUGGAACUGAGACACGGUCCAGACUCCUACGGGAGGCAGCAGUGGGGAAUAUUGCACAAUGGGCGCAAGCCUGAUGCAGCCAUGCCGCGUGUAUGAAGAAGGCCUUCGGGUUGUAAAGUACUUUCAGCGGGGAGGAAGGGAGUAAAGUUAAUACCUUUGCUCAUUGACGUUACCCGCAGAAGAAGCACCGGCUAACUCCGUGCCAGCAGCCGCGGUAAUACGGAGGGUGCAAGCGUUAAUCGGAAUUACUGGGCGUAAAGCGCACGCAGGCGGUUUGUUAAGUCAGAUGCGAAAUCCCCGGGCUCAACCUGGGAACUGCAUCUGAUACUGGCAAGCUUGAGUCUCGUA